UAUCAAACCUCUUGGAACUUCACAAAGACUAAUCUACCAAUUAGGUUUUCGCUUAGACCAAAAUGCAAUUUAAGCGACAAUUAAAGUGAGGAAUUUGUAGCCGAUGAUGUGAGAGGGAGUUGCAGCGUCAGUGUGAAGAAGACAAAUUAUCUGGUUCCAAACUAGCAUAAUUGUAGCUUGGAAGUGGAAAAUUUUCGAGGUUUGGAUCAUAGUUAAAGGUCCUUGUUCGUUAGUAACCAAAAUAGCAUGAUCGAAAAAGAGGAUGUGGAUCAUAAUUAGAGGUCCUUGUUCGUUAGUAACAUUUUUCACAGUCUUUGCA